UACGUAGGGUGCAAGCGUUGUCCGGAAUUAUUGGGCGUAAAGAGCGUGUAGGCGGCCCGGUUAGUCCGCUGUGAAAGUUCAGGGCUCAACCCUGGAAUGCCGGUGGAUACUGUCGGGCUAGAGCCCGGAAGGGGCGAGUGGAAUUCCUGGUGUAGCGGUGAAAUGCGCAGAUAUCAGGAGGAACACCAAUGGCGAAGGCAGCUCGCUGGGACGUGACUGACGCUGAGACGCGAAAGCGUGGGGAGCAAACAGG
rnacentral:rRNA from 1 species